GUGAUGAUUUAGUUGAAAAUUACAGUUAGAAACUUCCUGAAAUACCUGAUGUUAAUUUACUAGGGCGGUCUGAGGCU